GGGGAUAUGGCGAAAUUGGCAGACGCGUUGGACUUAGAAUCCAAUGGGUAACCGUGCAGGUUCAAAUCCUGUUAUCCCCACCA
rnacentral:tRNA from 1 species